CUGGCUCAGGAUGAACGGCUGGCGGUGUGCCUAAUACAUGCAAGUCGAUCGGGCGUAGCAAUACGUCAGAGGCGUACGGGUGAGUAACACGUAGGUAACCUACCUUUAAGACUGGGAUACCCAGACGAAAGUUUGGCUAAUACCGGAUAACAACAUUUGAGACAUCUCUUUUGUUUGAAAGGCGCUGCAAGGCGCCACUUUUAGAUGGACCUGCGUCGCAUUAGCUAGUUGGUGAGAUAAAAGCCCACAAGGCUGGGAUGCGUAGCCGAUCUGAGAGGAUGACCGGCCACAAUGGGACUGAGACACGGCCCAUACUCCUACGGGAGGCAGCAGUAGGGAGUUUUCGGCAAUGGGGGAAACCCUGACCGAGCAACACCGCGUGAGUGAUGAAAAGGUCUUCGGAUCGUAAAGCUCUGUUACGAGGGACGAAUGAUCGCUUUAGGAAAUGAGAGCGGUUUGACGGUACCUCGCCAGAAAGCGACGGCUAACUACGUGCCAGCAGCGGC
rnacentral:rRNA from 1 species